rnacentral:rRNA from 1 species
GAUGAACGCUGGCGGCGUGCCUAAUACAUGCAAGUCGAGCGAACAGAUAAGGAGCUUGCUCCUUUGAAGUUAGCGGCGGACGGGUGAGUAACACGUGGGUAACCUACCUAUAAGACUGGGAUAACUUCGGGAAACCGGAGCUAAUACCGGAUAACAUUUAGAACCGCAUGGUUCUAAAGUGAAAGAUGGUUUUGCUAUCACUUAUAGAUGGACCCGCGCCGUAUUAGCUAGUUGGUAAGGUAACGGCUUACCAAGGCGACGAUACGUAGCCGACCUGAGAGGGUGAUCGGCCACACUGGAACUGAGACACGGUCCAGACUCCUACGGGAGGCAGCAGUAGGGAAUCUUCCGCAAUGGGCGAAAGCCUGACGGAGCAACGCCGCGUGAGUGAUGAAGGGUUUCGGCUCGUAAAACUCUGUUAUUAGGGAAGAACAAAUGUGUAAGUAACUGUGCACAUCUUGACGGUACCUAACCAGAAAGCCACGGCUAACUACGUGCCAGCAGCCGCGGUAAUACGUAGGUGGCAAGCGUUAUCCGGAAUUAUUGGGCGUAAAGCGCGCGUAGGCGGUUUCUUAAGUCUGAUGUGAAAGCCCACGGCUCAACCGUGGAGGGUCAUUGGAAACUGGGAAACUUGAGUGCAGAAGAGGAAAGUGGAAUUCCAUGUGUAGCGGUGAAAUGCGCAGAGAUAUGGAGGAACACCAGUGGCGAAGGCGACUUUCUGGUCUGUAACUGACGCUGAUGUGCGAAAGCGUGGGGAUCAAACAGGAUUAGAUACCCUGGUAGUCCACGCCGUAAACGAUGAGUGCUAAGUGUUAGGGGUUUCCGCCCCUUAGUGCUGCAGCUAACGCAUUAAGCACUCCGCCUGGGGAGUACGACCGCAAGGUUGAAACUCAAAGGAAUUGACGGGGACCCGCACAAGCGGUGGAGCAUGUGGUUUAAUUCGAAGCAACGCGAAGAACCUUACCAAAUCUUGACAUCCUUUGAAAACUCUAGAGAUAGAGCCUUCCCCUUCGGGGGACAAAGUGACAGGUGGUGCAUGGUUGUCGUCAGCUCGUGUCGUGAGAUGUUGGGUUAAGUCCCGCAACGAGCGCAACCCUUAAGCUUAGUUGCCAUCAUUAAGUUGGGCACUCUAGGUUGACUGCCGGUGACGAACCGGAGGAAGGUGGGGAUGACGUCAAAUCAUCAUGCCCCUUAUGAUUUGGGCUACACACGUGCUACAAUGGACAAUACAAAGGGCAGCUAAACCGCGAGGUCAUGCAAAUCCCAUAAAGUUGUUCUCAGUUCGGAUUGUAGUCUGCAACUCGACUACAUGAAGCUGGAAUCGCUAGUAAUCGUAGAUCAGCAUGCUACGGUGAAUACGUUCCCGGGUCU